GGUAAGAUGGCUGAAUUAAAGUGGUGGGUUGUAGCCCCAUAAAUAAAGGUUUGAGUCCUUUUCUUAUCA
rnacentral:tRNA from 1 species